AUGCACGCUGGCGGCGUGCCUAAUACAUGCAAGUCGAGCGAACAGACGAGGAGCUUGCUCCUCUGACGUUAGCGGCGGACGGGUGAGUAACACGUGGAUAACCUACCUAUAAGACUGGGAUAACUUCGGGAAACCGGAGCUAAUACCGGAUAAUAUAUUGAACCGCAUGGUUCAAUAGUGAAAGACGGUUUUGCUGUCACUUAUAGAUGGAUCCGCGCCGCAUUAGCUAGUUGGUAAGGUAACGGCUUACCAAGGCAACGAUGCGUAGCCGACCUGAGAGGGUGAUCGGCCACACUGGAACUGAGACACGGUCCAGACUCCUGCGGGAGGCAGCAGUAGGGAAUCUUCCGCAAUGGGCGAAAGCCUGACGGAGCAACGCCGCGUGAGUGAUGAAGGUCUUCGGAUCGUAAAACUCUGUUAUUAGGGAAGAACAAAUGUGUAAGUAACUAUGCACGUCUUGACGGUACCUAAUCAGAAAGCCACGGCUAACUACGUG
rnacentral:rRNA from 1 species